GGCUCAACCCAAGAAUUGCCUUUGAUACUGGAUGUCUCGAGACCGGGAGAGGUGAGUGGAAUUCCGAGUGUAGAGGUGAAAUUCGUAGAUAUUCGGAAGAACACCAGUGGCGAAGGCGGCUCACUGGCCCGGUUCUGACGCUGAGGUGCGAAAGCGUGGGUAGCGAACAGGAUUAGAUACCCUGGUAGUCCACGCCGUAAACUAUGAGGACUAGCUGUUGGAUGCAUAAAAGCAUCAAGUAGCGAAGCUAACGCGAUAAGUUCUCCGCCUGGGGAGUACGGCCGCAAGGCUAAAACUCAAAGGAAUUGACGGGGGCCCGCACAAGCGGUGGAGCAUGUGGUUUAAUUCGACGCAGCGCGCAGAACCUUACC
rnacentral:rRNA from 1 species